AGUGCAAAUGUGGUUGUGGAUGGGAGCACGGUCAAUUUAGGUUUAUGGGAUACAGCUGGUCAGGAGGAUUACAAUAGAUUGAGACCUUUGAGCUAUCGAGGGGCAGAUGUCUUUAUUCUUGCAUUCUCUUUAAUCAGCAAGGCCAGCUAUGAAAAUGUUGCCAAAAAGUGGAUUCCAGAACUGAGGCAUUAUGCACCUGGAGUUCCUGUCAUUCUUGUUGGAACAAAACUUGAUCUUCGCGAGGAUAAGCAGUUCUUCAUUGACCAUCCGGGUGCAGUGCCUAUCACUACUGCCCAAGGAGAGGAACUGAGAAAACUUAUUGGAGCUCCUGCCUAUAUAGAGUGUAGCUCAAAAACACAGCAGAAUGUGAAGGCGGUUUUUGAUGCAGCAAUCAAGGUGGUUCUGCAGCCCCCCAAGCAAAAGAGAAAGAAGAAAAAGGGACAAAAGGCUUGCUCUAUAUUGUGAUGAUGUGGGAAUGAGCAUGCUUUGACAGAAAGAAGUUGGCUUUUCGAUUCAUCACUGUUUUACCCUUUAAUUUUCAUGCCCCUGCAAGGAAGCAG
rnacentral:misc_RNA from 1 species